rnacentral:lncRNA from 1 species
CUGGUUUGGGGUUUUUUUGCAGUGUCAUAUCUGAUGAGAAGGGUAAAGUAUACUUGAAUCUUCAGCUAGAAGAUCCUCUGCAGUCUGUUUAUCAGCCAUGGGAAUUCAGUUGGGAUUAAAAAUAAUCACACAUUGAGCAGUCUGAUUAAAAUUCCUAUCCCACUUAUCUUUUUUUCUAUGUGAUAAUUUUCAUUUUACUAGCUCUUCAGUAAUCGUAGUGUCUUUCAAAAGUAGCAAAAAUUGGAAUUUAUAUUUUACCAGAAGAAAUUAUGGAAAAAUAAACAUUUUCAUGUUUGUUUAUUAUUAUUUUUAAAUGAUACCUGAGAGCAUUUCUUUUCAGGUCACCUUACAUCCUCUGACAAACAAAUUAGCAUGAUUAUUUAUAUAGCGAUGUAAAUGAAUCCGGUACUGAUGAUAAGCAGAGGGACAAAAAAGUUAAGAGUGCCUGGUUUUAAGCGCUCACUUUGUAGAGACAUAAGUGGAUGUGAUACAAUGCGCAGAACAAGAAUAUAAACAGUAGGUGUAGUUUUUGAGUGCUGCAUGACAGGGGCAUUUCUGUUCAGCACUGGGAUUAGCACUUCUAUUGAAACUUAUAUAACAGACGCUUUGCCAGGGUGGUUUCUAAAAACGAUGCUCAUCAUGCUUUAGAUACCAAAAGCUUUAAGUCAAAGAAAAUAUUUUAAACUGAAGAACUUUUUUUUUUUCCCCAUUGGUUUCCUCCCGGUUCCUAAUGAGAUACUUCUGCAUAUGUAAGUCACGAGUGGCGAUGAAAAGUACUGGUUUUACAAUGAAAAGACACGGACAAGCAGCAGUGCUUUUUGAAGCGUUAUUGAUAUCUGUUUUCCUAACAAUCCCAAAAAGCCAACCGGAAGAGGUUUCAAAGAACAUAAUUCAGAAUUCUGAGGACAACCGUUUCUGUCAAUACUGA